rnacentral:rRNA from 1 species
UACAGAGGUCUCAAGCGUUGUUCGGAUUCAUUGGGCGUAAAGGGUGUGUAGGUGGCGCCGUAAGUCGGGUGUGAAAUUUCGGAGCUUAACUCCGAAACUGCAUUCGAUACUGCGGUGCUUGAGGACUGGAGAGGAGACUGGAAUUCAUGGUGUAGCAGUGAAAUGCGUAGAGAUCAUGAGGAAGACCAGUGGCGAAGGCGGGUCUCUGGACAGUUCCUGACACUGAGACACGAAGGCCAGGGGAGCGAACGGG